AACGAACGCUGGCGGCAGGCCUAACACAUGCAAGUCGAGCGAGACCUUCGGGUCUAGCGGCGACGGGGUUAGUAAGCCGUGGGAACGUGCCCUUCUCUGCGGAAUAGCCACUGGAAACGGUGAGUAAUACCGCAUACGCCCUUCGGGGGAAAGGAUUUAUCGGAGAAGGAUCGGCCCGCGUUAGAUUAGAUAGUUGGUGGGUAACGGCCUACCAAGUCUACGAUCUAUAGCUGGUUUUAGUAGGAUGAUCAGCAACACUGGGACUGAGACACGGCCCAGACUCCUACGGGAGGCAGCAGUGGGGAAUCUUAGACAAUGGGCGGCAAGCCUGAUCUAGCCAUGCCGCGUGUGUGAUGAAGGUCUUAGGAUCGUAAAGCACUUUCGCCAGGGAUGAUAAUGACAGUACCUGGUAAAGAAACCCCGGCUAACUCCGUG
rnacentral:rRNA from 1 species